AUGGCCCCUCCGAUGGUUCUGCUCGACCGCGAGGUUGAGUUGUGCGACGAGGAGGCGGGGAUCUACGAAGGGCCAGUCCGCUGCUCGUGGGGACUACCAGCAAGAAGCUCAGCCGAGGGCCCGGGAAAGUUGAUUCAUGCAGUCGCGGAGUACCUGCAGACAUUCAAAGCCCAGCCGCUCGUCGCCGAUCCGCCGGAACUCUCCUCCCUCAACAUACGGCCGCCGAAAUCCGCCCCGGUCCCGCCGACAGCCGGCCUGGAAUCGGGCCGCAUCUCCAGCGCAGACAAGCACCUGGUCGCCCUCUACGCCGGAGGCUACCGCCCUGGCUACAGCUUGCCGGGGGGCUAUCUCAUCUACGACGCCAGCAACGACUCCAUCUCCGCCAUCCCUUGCAUCCCCCCCGGCACCUGCAGGACUACAGCCAUGGGGUUCCAGUCGGCCGUCGUCAUGUGCGGCGCCACCGGGGAAGGCGGUUACCUUCUUGCUGAGCUCGUCUGGGUCUGUACACAAGACUCCCAAGCCGCGCUCUGGCUGUGGGAGUCGUCCGCCAAACAAUGGGACGUCAAGCUCAGGGACCUGCCCCUUCCACCCGGCACCACCGCCUUCAACUUCUCCGUCCACUCGUGCUUCUCUUUUGGGGGCUCUUUCCUCUGCUGGGUGGAUCUACACCGUGGCAUGUUGCUCUGUGAUCUGCGCAAGGACUGCAACUUCAGCUUCAUUGAGUUGCCCCAAGGACCUCCAGACUAUGAUGCCUCCGAUUAUCCACACGGCCCCUGCGCUGAGGAGUUCCGUUCCGUGGCCUGUGUUCAUGGCUCCGUCAAGUUCCUCGCCUUCAAUACAUUUGUUGAACGCGAGCCCGGCGAAACAUUUGGACUGGCCGUCUGGACUCUGUCGCCUGACCACUCAGCGUGGAGCAGAAGCUACAAGUGCAGCUUUGGAGACAUCUGGGCUAACGCCAACUUCCAGUCUGCUGGUUUGGGACAGCUUUCUCCGUCGUUCCCUGUCCUGAGCAUCCAUCAAGACGGCGUCGUCUACCUAGUCGUAAAUGAUACCAGUGCGGUGGGUCGUCGACUAGUGUUCAACGCCCGGUACUUGCUUCGUGUCGACAUGGGGAGUAACAACGAUGUCCAGGUCUAUCAACAGAAGACGACGCGUAUUCGUUCCCAGCUCUUUGCAAGUGAGUUCAGUGCGCACCGACGACAGGAGCACCCGAGAGAUGGAAUCUAG
rnacentral:rRNA from 1 species